AAUGAACGUUGGCGGCGUGGAUUAGGCAUGCAAGUCGUACGCACAGCUUCGGCUGUGAGUGGCGCAAGGGUGAGUAAUGCGAAGGUAACCAACCCUGGUGUUGGGCAUAACCGCGGGAAACUGCGGGUAAUUCCCAGCGACGUCGCGAGAUGGCAUCAUCUUGCGACCAAAGGUGUGAUUCCGCUCUAGGACGGGCCUUCGUGGUAUUAGGUAGUUGGUGAGGUAACGGCUCACCAAGCCGACGAUGCCUACCGGGUGUGAGAGCAUGACCCGGCACACUGGAACUGAGACACUGUCCAGACACCUACGGGUGGCUGCAGUCGAGAAUCUUCGGCAAUGGGCGAAAGCCUGACCGAGCGACGCCGCGUGAGGGAAGAAGGCCUUCGGUUGUAACCUCUUUCGUAGAGGAGGAAGGGCCGGUGCAGAGCGGUCUUUGACCUAUUCUAGGAAGAAGCUUGGGCUAAGUUCGUG
rnacentral:rRNA from 1 species